GCCAGCAUAGUGUAGUGGUUUGAGUGUUGGACUAUGACUCCAGAGACAGGAGUUCAGUUCCCAGUUCAGCCA
rnacentral:tRNA from 1 species